GGUCAAGUUAUUAAGGGUGCAGGGCGGAUGCCUUGGCACUAGGAGCCGAUGAAGGACGUGAUAAGCUGCGAUAAGCUUCGGGGAGUUGCACGUAAACUUUGAUCCGAAGAUUUCCGAAUGAGGAAACUCACUUAGAGUAAUGUCUAAGUAUCAUUAAGUGAAUACAUAGCUUAAUGAGGGGAACUCAGGGAACUGAAACAUCUAAGUACCUGAAGGAAGAGAAAGAAAUUCGAUUCCGUAAGUAGCGGCGAGCGAACGCGGAUUAGCCCAAACCAAUAAAG
rnacentral:rRNA from 1 species